rnacentral:rRNA from 1 species
UGGGGAAUCUUCCGCAAUGGACGAAAGUCUGACGGAGCAACGCCGCGUGAGUGAAGAAGGUUUUCGGAUCGUAAAGCUCUGUUGUUUGAGACGAACGUGCAGUAUACGAAUAAUGUGCUGUAAUGACGGUAACAAACUAGAAAGCCACGGCUAACUACGUGCCAGCAGCCGCGGUAAUACGUAGGUGGCAAGCGUUGUCCGGAAUUAUUGGGCGUAAAGGGAGCGCAGGUGGGAAUGUAAGUCAGUCUUAAAAGUGCGGGGCUCAACCCCGUGAUGGGACAGAAACUACAUUUCUUGAGUGCAGGAGAGGAAAGUGGAAUUCCUAGUGUAGCGGUGAAAUGCGUAGAUAUUAGGAGGAACACCAGUGGCGAAGGCGACUUUCUGGACUGUAACUGACACUGAGGCUCGAAAGCUAGGGGAGCGAACG